UCAAAUGCAGCAUUUCUAUCACCUCAACAAACACUAACUGUGUCACAGUGUGUUGCUAGCUAAAGCUCCACUUGCUGUAUUUCACAGGAAGAGAAAAGAAUGAGAGCUAACUUCACUCAGAGAUAUAGAAAGAAAGAGAAAGAAACCAGGCUGUAUUUAAAGACGUCUUGAAAACAAGUUUUAACAAAGUCCUGGAGAAGUGCCCAAUGCUGGAGGACCUCCUGCUUUACCCCUGGCUCAGAUAAACUCCUCUCUGACACAAACACACACGCAUACUGAAUUCACAUCUUGCCAUACAAAUGUGAUACAGUAACCAACUUUCUUUCUUUCAGAAAAAAAGAAAAUUGGGAGAUUCAAAAUUUUCCUCACAGUAA